AUUGAACGCUGGCGGCAGGCCUAACACAUGCAAGUCGAACGGUAACAUGAAGCAGCUUGCUGCUUUGCUGACGAGUGGCUGACGUGUGAGUAAUGUCUGGGAAACUGCCUGAUUGAGGGGGAUAACUACUGGAAACGGUAGCUAAUACCGCAUAACGUCGCAAGACCAAAGAGGGUGACCUUCUGGCCUCUUGCCAUCGGAUGUUCCCAGAUGGGAUUAGCUAGUAGGUGGGGUAACGGCUCACCUAGGCGACGAUCCCUAGCUGGUCUGAGAGGAUGACCAGCCACACUGGAACUGAGACACGGUCCAGACUCCUAAGGGAGGAAGCAGUGGGGAAUAUUGCACAAUGGGCGAAAGCCUGAUGCAGCCAUGCCGCGUGUAUGAAGAAGGACUUCGGGUUGUAAAGUACUUUCAGCGGGGAGGAAGGGAGUAAAGUUAAUACCUUUGCUCAUUGACGUUACCCGAAGAAGAAGCACCGGCUAACUACGUG
rnacentral:rRNA from 1 species